AACUAGCCCUGAUAGAAGCGGCAUCCUUUUUUAUAUUUUUUUAGAACUUGUAGAAAAUUUAAAAAAUUAUAAAAAAGAUACAGCGGAUAGCAGGUUCCCGG
rnacentral:sRNA from 1 species